AGGACGAACGCUGGCGGCGUGCUUAACACAUGCAAGUCGAACGAUGAUCCGGUUUCGGCCGGGGAUUAGUGGCGAACGGGUGAGUAACACGUGAGCAACCUGCCCCUGGCUCUGGGAUAGCCUCCGGAAACGGGGAUUAAUACCGGACAUUCUCCUUCUUCCGCAUGGUUGAGGGUGGAAAGUUUUUCGGCCGGGAGGGCUCGCGGCCUAUCAGCUUGUUGGCGGGGUAACGGCCCACCAAGGCGACGACGGGUAGCCGGCCUGAGAGGGCGACCGGCCACACUGGGACUGAGACACGGCCCAGACUCCUACGGGAGGCAGCAGUGGGGAAUAUUGCGCAAUGGGCGGAAGCCUGACGCAGCGACGCCGCGUGGGGGAUGAAGGCCUUCGGGUUGUAAACCCCUUUCACCAGGAGCGAAUCAAGACGGUACCUGGGGAAGAAGCGCCGGCUAACUACGUGCCAGCAGCCGC
rnacentral:rRNA from 1 species